GCCCGGGUGGCGAAACAGGCAGACGCAAGGGACUUAAAAUCCCUUGUCCCGUGAGGGACGUGCGGGUUCGACCCCCGCCCCGGGCACCA
rnacentral:tRNA from 1 species